GAAGGGCCCGCGUCCUAUCAGGUUGUUGGUAGGGUAAUGGCCUACCAAGCCAAAGACGGGUAGCUGGCGUAAGAGCGUGACCAGCCACAUCGGGACUGAGACACUGCCCGGACUCCUACGGGAGGCUGCAGUCGAGAAUCUUUCCCAAUGGACGAAAGUCUGAGGAUGCGACGCCGCGUGGAGGAUGAAGGCCUUCGGGUUGUAAACUCAUUUUAUUGAGGAGGAACGUUAUUAGGAUAAUACCCUUUUAACUUGACUGUACUCGGUGAAUAAGCCACGGCUAACUCCGUGCCAGCAGCCGCGGUAAUACGGAGGUGGCAAGCGUUACUCGGUUUGACUGGGUGUAAAGGGUCCGCAGGCGGCUUUACAAGUGGAAGGUGAAAUCUUUCGGCUCAACCGAAAAACUGCCUUUCAAACUGUAAGGCUUGAGGAUGGAAGAGGAGAGUGGAACUGCCGGUGUAAAGGUGAAAUUUGUGGAGAUCGGCAGGAACGCCAGUGGAGAAGUCGGCUCUCUGGUCCAUAUCUGACGCUCAGGGACGAAAGCUAGGGGAGCCAACAGGAUUAGAUACCCUGGUAGUCCUAGCUGUAAACGAUGGGCACUAGGUGUUCGUUCGUAAGAAUGGCUG
rnacentral:rRNA from 1 species